GACGAACGCUGGCGGCGUGCCUAAUACAUGCAAGUAGGACGCAGUUGCGAACGGGUGAGUAACGCGUAGGCAACUACCUAUUAGAGGGGGAUAACUAGUGGAAACGAUAGCUAAUACCGCAUAAUAGUAGAUGGACCUGCGUUGUAUUAGCUAGUAGGUGGGGUAAUGGGCUACCUAGGCAACGAUACAUAACCGACCUGAGAGGGUUGUCGGCCCCACUGGGACUGAGAAACGGCCCAGAACCCCACGGGAGGGAGCAGUAGGGAAAUUUCGGCAAUGGGGGGAACCCUGACCGCGCCACGCCGCGGGGGUGAAGAAGGUUUUCGGAUCGGAAAGCUCUGUUGUUAAGGAAGCGGUACUUACCCAGAAAGGGACGGCUAACUACGUGCCAGCAGCCGCGGUAAUUC
rnacentral:rRNA from 1 species